GAGUGGCGAACUGGUGAGUAACACGUGGGAAACCUGCCCAGAAGCGGGGGAUAACACCUGGAAACAGAUGCUAAUACCGCAUAACAACUUGGACCGCAUGGUCCGAGUUUGAAAGAUGGCUUCGGCUAUCACUUUUGGAUGGUCCCGCGGCGUAUUAGCUAGAUGGUGAGGUAACGGCUCACCAUGGCAAUGAUACGUAGCCGACCUGAGAGGGUAAUCGGCCACAUUGGGACUGAGACACGGCCCAAACUCCUACGGGAGGCAGCAGUAGGGAAUCUUCCACAAUGGACGAAAGUCUGAUGGAGCAACGCCGCGUGAGUGAAGAAGGGUUUCGGCUCGUAAAACUCUGUUGUUAAAGAAGAACAUAUCUGAGAGUAACUGUUCAGGUAUUGACGGUAUUUAACCAGAAAGCCACGGCUAACUACGUGCCAGCAGCCGCGGUAAUACGUAGGUGGCAAGCGUUGUCCGGAUUUAUUGGGCGUAAAGCGAGCGCAGGCGGUUUUUUAAGUCUGAUGUGAAAGCCUUCGGCUCAACCGAAGAAGUGCAUCGGAAACUGGGAAACUUGAGUGCAGAAGAGGACAGUGGAACUCCAUGUGUAGCGGUGAAAUGCGUAGAUAUAUGGAAGAACACCAGUGGCGAAGGCGGCUGUCUGGUCUGUAACUGACGCUGAGGCUCGAAAGUAUGGGUAGCAAAACAGGGAUUAGAUACCCUGGUAGUCCAUACCGUAAACGAUGAAUGCUAAGUGUUGGAGGGUUUCCGCCCUUCAGUGCUGCAGCUAACGCAUUAAGCAUUCCGCCUGGGGAGUACGGCCGCAAGGCUGAAACUCAAAGGAAUUGACGGGGGCCCGCACAAGCGGUGGAGCAUGUGGUUUAAUUCGAAGCUACGCGAAGAACCUUACCAGGUCUUGACAUACUAUGCAAAUCUAAGAGAUUAGACGUUCCCUUCGGGGACAUGGAUACAGGUGGUGCAUGGUUGUCGUCAGCUCGUGUCGUGAGAUGUUGGGUUAAGUCCCGCAACGAGCGCAACCCUUAUUAUCAGUUGCCAGCAUUAAGUUGGGCACUCUGGUGAGACUGCCGGUGACAAACCGGAGGAAGGUGGGGAUGACGUCAAAUCAUCAUGCCCCUUAUGACCUGGGCUACACACGUGCUACAAUGGAUGGUACAACGAGUUGCGAACUCGCGAGAGUAAGCUAAUCUCUUAAAGCCAUUCUCAGUUCGGAUUGUAGGCUGCAACUCGCCUACAUGAAGUCGGAAUCGCUAGUAAUCGCGGAUCAGCAUGCCGCGGUGAAUACGUUCCCGGGCCUUGUACACACCGCCCGUCACACCAUGAGAGUUUGUAACACCCAAAGUCGGUGGGGUAACC
rnacentral:rRNA from 1 species